rnacentral:rRNA from 1 species
GAUUAAGUUAUUAAGGGCGCACGGUGGAUGCCUUGGCACUAGAAGCCGAUGAAGGACGUUACUAACGACGAUAUGCUUUGGGGAGCUGUAAGUAAGCUUUGAUCCAGAGAUUUCCGAAUGGGGAAACCCAGCAUGAGUUAUGUCAUGUUAUCGAUAUGUGAAUACAUAGCAUAUCAGAAGGCAUACCCGGAGAACUGAAACAUCUUAGUACCCGGAGGAAGAGAAAGAAAAUUCGAUUCCCUUAGUAGCGGCGAGCGAAACGGGAAGAGCCCAAACCAACAAGCUUGCUUGUUGGGGUUGUAGGACACUCUAUACGGAGUUACAAAGGACGACAUUAGACGAAUCAUCUGGAAAGAUGAAUCAAAGAAGGUAAUAAUCCUGUAGUCGAAAAUGUUGUCUCUCUUGAGUGGAUCCUGAGUACGACGGAGCACGUGAAAUUCCGUCGGAAUCUGGGAGGACCAUCUCCUAAGGCUAAAUACUCUCUAGUGACCGAUAGUGAACCAGUACCGUGAGGGAAAGGUGAAAAGCACCCCGGAAGGGGAGUGAAAUAGAACCUGAAACCGUGUGCUUACAAGUAGUCAGAGCCCGUUAAUGGGUGAUGGCGUGCCUUUUGUAGAAUGAACCGGCGAGUUACGAUUUGAUGCAAGGUUAAGCAGUAAAUGUGGAGCCGUAGCGAAAGCGAGUCUGAAUAGGGCGUUUAGUAUUUGGUCGUAGACCCGAAACCAGGUGAUCUACCCUUGGUCAGGUUGAAGUUCAGGUAACACUGAAUGGAGGACCGAACCGACUUACGUUGAAAAGUGAGCGGAUGAACUGAGGGUAGCGGAGAAAUUCCAAUCGAACCUGGAGAUAGCUGGUUCUCUCCGAAAUAGCUUUAGGGCUAGCCUCAAGUGAUGAUUAUUGGAGGUAGAGCACUGUUUGGACGAGGGGCCCCUCUCGGGUUACCGAAUUCAGACAAACUCCGAAUGCCAAUUAAUUUAACUUGGGAGUCAGAACAUGGGUGAUAAGGUCCGUGUUCGAAAGGGAAACAGCCCAGACCACCAGCUAAGGUCCCAAAAUAUAUGUUAAGUGGAAAAGGAUGUGGCGUUGCCCAGACAACUAGGAUGUUGGCUUAGAAGCAGCCAUCAUUUAAAGAGUGCGUAAUAGCUCACUAGUCGAGUGACACUGCGCCGAAAAUGUACCGGGGCUAAACAUAUUACCGAAGCUGUGGAUUGUCCUUUGGACAAUGGUAGGAGAGCGUUCUAAGGGCGUUGAAGCAUGAUCGUAAGGACAUGUGGAGCGCUUAGAAGUGAGAAUGCCGGUGUGAGUAGCGAAAGACGGGUGAGAAUCCCGUCCACCGAUUGACUAAGGUUUCCAGAGGAAGGCUCGUCCGCUCUGGGUUAGUCGGGUCCUAAGCUGAGGCCGACAGGCGUAGGCGAUGGAUAACAGGUUGAUAUUCCUGUACCACCUAUAAUCGUUUUAAUCGAUGGGGGGACGCAGUAGGAUAGGCGAAGCGUGCGAUUGGAUUGCACGUCUAAGCAGUAAGGCUGAGUAUUAGGCAAAUCCGGUACUCGUUAAGGCUGAGCUGUGAUGGGGAGAAGACAUUGUGUCUUCGAGUCGUUGAUUUCACACUGCCGAGAAAAGCCUCUAGAUAGAAAAUAGGUGCCCGUACCGCAAACCGACACAGGUAGUCAAGAUGAGAAUUCUAAGGUGAGCGAGCGAACUCUCGUUAAGGAACUCGGCAAAAUGACCCCGUAACUUCGGGAGAAGGGGUGCUCUUUAGGGUUAACGCCCAGAAGAGCCGCAGUGAAUAGGCCCAAGCGACUGUUUAUCAAAAACACAGGUCUCUGCUAAACCGUAAGGUGAUGUAUAGGGGCUGACGCCUGCCCGGUGCUGGAAGGUUAAGAGGAGUGGUUAGCUUCUGCGAAGCUACGAAUCGAAGCCCCAGUAAACGGCGGCCGUAACUAUAACGGUCCUAAGGUAGCGAAAUUCCUUGUCGGGUAAGUUCCGACCCGCACGAAAGGCGUAACGAUUUGGGCACUGUCUCAACGAGAGACUCGGUGAAAUCAUAGUACCUGUGAAGAUGCAGGUUACCCGCGACAGGACGGAAAG